GCGGGCAGGAAAAGCGGUUAAUUCGCCGGUCUCAUAAGCCGGAGGAGGGUGUUCGACUCACCCGCCCGCA
rnacentral:tRNA from 1 species